GACGGAGGAUGCAAGCGUUAUCCGGAAUUAUUGGGCGUAAAGGGCGCGUAGGCGGUGCGGUAAGUCACCUGUGAAACCUCUAGGCUCAACCUAGAGCCUGCAGGCGAAACUGCCGUGCUUGAGGGUGGGAGAGGUGCGUGGAAUUCCCGGUGUAGCGGUGAAAUGCGUAGAUAUCGGGAGGGACACCUGUGGCGAAAGCGGCGCACUGGACCACAUCUGACGCUGAGGCGCGAAAGCUAGGGGAGCAAACAGG
rnacentral:rRNA from 1 species